GCCCUAAUUAUUAGCCAUUACUAAUUUACAAUAGAUUCAGUUUAGGUAUUACACUUGGUUUUUAAGUUCUGAAUUUUAGUUCCAGGCUUUCAUGAUCCAUUCAAAGUAUGAAAAGAGAACUGUUCAGUAUAAUCAAUGUAUAUAAAGAAAUCUUAAAAUGAUAACAGCUGACAUGAAAGUACUAAACAUUUUCUAAAGGAUCAGGAAAAAUAUUGCAACAGACAUUGAAUAGCUGGCUGAUUUUCAAUCCCAAUGUAAAAUGGCCACCUCUCAGUAAAAACUGUGGUCUCUUAUAUUAGCAAAUCAGCAUGUGAAUUGAAAUAAUCAGGAAUUACAUGCGGGGAGAAUAUAAGAACAAAUAAAAUAAAACCAAAACCAAAUAACCCAAGCAUAAAGGAAAAGUCAAUGCUCAACACUAUAGUUAUAAAAAGUAAAAUAUUUCAUAUACAACCUAUUCAUGAGAAAGUCCAUGCAUGCAUCUUAACAAUUUGAUGAAUACACAAAUGCUUUAGACAACCUCUAUGCUGAAGAAGUUGUUAAGCGUUCUUGAUCCAAUUUUUGUUUCAAAUUGAGGAUGCAGGGCCUCUAACAUUAUAAUUGGGGUACAUCACGUGUUCUUACUUCUUUUAUCAUAGUUUCAAGACCCCCAACCCCAUCCCAACUAGUCAACACCAAAGCCAACUCUCAACUCCUACCUAUUCUGAAUCUCCCCUCUUUUUCCUUUUUUUUUUUUUUCCUGUAUAAUGUUGUUAACUCGUUUAUUUUCCAUUGUUCUCACCAUGUUACCCUAAUGGUUAUU
rnacentral:misc_RNA from 1 species